AUUAGAUACCCUAUUAUUUUUAUUGUAAAUUUUAAGGCUUGAGUAUUAGUAGUUAUGAUCUUGAAACUUAAAGAAUUUGGCGGUAUUAUAGUCUAUUUAGAGGAAUUUGUCACGUAAUCGAUAAUCCACGUUGAACCUUACUUACAUUAAUUCUUGUAUACCGCUGUUUAUGAAAAUACUUUCAGGUAAAAUUUUCUUGAUAUGGAAUUAAAUAGGAUUUCAAGUCAAGGUGCAGUAAUAUGGAAGUGAAUGAUGGAUUACAAUAAAUUUUAUUUAUUACGGAUUAUAAAUGUAAUAUAAUUUGAAGGUGGAUUUAAUUGUAAUCUUUUGAAGAUUGUAAAGAUGAUUAUUAGCUCUAUAAUAUGUACACAUCGCCCG
rnacentral:rRNA from 1 species